CCUACGGGGCGCAGCAGUGGGGAAUAUUGCACAAUGGGGGAAACCCUGAUGCAGCGACGCCGCGUGAGUGAAGAAGUAAUUCGUUAUGUAAAGCUCUAUCAGCAGGGAAGAAAAUGACGGUACCUGAGUAAGAAGCCCCGGCUAACUACGUGCCAGCAGCCGCGGUAAUACGUAGGGGGCAAGCGUUAUCCGGAUUUACUGGGUGGAAAGGGAGCGUAGACGGCAGUGCAAGUCUGGAGUGAAAGGCGGGGGCUCAACCCCCGGACUGCUCUGGAAACUGUACGGCUGGAGUGCAGGAGAGGUAAGUGGAAUUCCUAGUGUAGCGGUGAAAUGCGUAGAUAUUAGGAGGAACACCAGUGGCGAAGGCGGCUUACUGGACUGUAACUGACGUUGAGGCCCGAAAGCGUGGGGAGCAAACAGGAUUAGAUACCCCAGUAGUC
rnacentral:rRNA from 1 species